AGUAGUGUCGGUCGAGCGGCGGGUGGAACACGUAGGGUGCGAGCGUUGUUCGGAAGCAUUGGGCGGAAAGCGCGCGCAUGCGGGUCAGUAAGUCAGGUGUGAAAUCUCGGAGCUCAACUCCGAAACUGCGCCUGAAACUAUUGGUCUAGAGUAGCGGAGGGGACAGGGGAAUUUCACGUGUAGGGGUAAAAUCCGUAGAGAUGUGAAGGAACACCGGAGGCGAAGGCGCCUGUCUGGACGAUUACUGACGCUGAGGCGCGAAAGCGUGGGGAGCAAACAGGAUUAGAUACCCCGGUAGUC
rnacentral:rRNA from 1 species